UAUGGCAGAUGAAGAUUUAUAAAUCUUAUCCUACACACUGAAUCUCUGUGUUGAUUGAUUACUCCGCUUAUUAUCUGAUGCCAUU